UUUAAAAUUCCCGGACUAUCAAUCCACUUCCGUUCUCCAGCCAAACAGAGAAGCGCAUUCCCUCCGGAAGAGGCGGGCAGACGAAAAGGCGCAUGGGAAGAAGGUCAGCUAAGACCGGCCGUCCAAGGCUGUCCGUUGGUUCGCUGUUCCUUUAAGAGGUGGCCCCUCCCUCUCGACUCCGCUGCGGUCGACCCAACUUGCUAAGCUAUAGAGCGAAGGAAGGAGUUUAGUAGUUGCGGCGGGCGUGGGCAAGGCGCCCGGAAAGAACCCUGAAAAUCUAGGUGGUUGUUAUUCCCCCCCUCGCUCUUAGCAAUUUAAAGUAACGGCUGGCAGACGCUGAUUUACGCACAAGAGUGAGGUCCUAGAAUUCCAAGACUUGGUUCUAGAAGUAGAAUAUGAUGAUGAAAUCUGUGACCUGUUGAAAGAUGGUUCAGUUUCAAGCACACUAGAAAGAUGACAAGCUCCCAGAUGUGACAUAAGGGCCUUUUCAAAUGCAAAAUUGUUCUGAGGAAGAAGAAUGGUUGAAUGGAAAUAAAGUCACUGGCAUCUAGCAAGAAGCCAGAUGCUUCUCAGGGUGGAAUGGGUGAGGGUACUUAAAACCCCAGUCUGGAGAUAUAGAAGGAUCGGUGGGGGUAGAAGGUGGAGAAGAUAGAGGAAGGAGAGGAAGGAGUCGAUCGAUCAAUUUGACACACCCAACAUCUCGCAAAGGAGGAAACACCAGGUUCCUUUUUGGUAAGCUCAGGGAAAUUGAAUGAGCCACAAAGAGUGAGAGAAAGUUCUGACAAUCUUUUGGGUGUCAGCUUAAUAUUGUUUAAUUGUUGUAAAGAAGAGAGAGGUGUUGUGCUUGCUACUGUGAUUCAUCCAAAUUUUGGUAAGAAAAUAAAUCUGUUUUGAUUAAAUAUAAUCUCUUCAUU